UGCAGCAUAUUGCAGUGGUGUC
rnacentral:miRNA from 1 species